GACGACCGGUGGCGAAGGCGUUCAACUAGAACGGAUCCGACGGUGAGGAACGAGGGCUAGGGUAGCAAACCGGAUUAGAUACCCGGGUAGUCCUAGCUGUAAACACUGCCCACUUGGUGUUGCCCCUCCGAUGAGGGGAGGCAGUGCCGGAGCGAAGGUGUUAAGUGGGCCGCUUGGGGAGUAUGGUCGCAAGGCUGAAACUUAAAGGAAUUGGCGGGGGAGCACCGCAACGGGAGGAGCGUGCGGUUUAAUUGGAUUCAACGCCGGAAAACUCACCGGGAGCGACCUUUGGAUGAGAGUCAACCUGAUGAGUUUACUCGAUAGAAGGAGAGGUGGUGCAUGGCCGUCGUCAGCUCGUACCGUAGGG
rnacentral:rRNA from 1 species